rnacentral:lncRNA from 1 species
AGCCUUGAGAUCAUUCUCAUACAGGGCCAGCACAGCACGGGCACUGGGCACGCCCUCGCUGGUCGUAUCUCUGCUUCUUUAGCCUGCCCAGGGAGCCCUCCAAGGUCUUUGGUUGGUGCCAAGUAGUUCCAGAGGUGCAUAUAUGAGAGUGGUGGUGGCCAACACAUGGACCGUGAAGGGCAGGACAAAGAACCUUGAGAAGGUCAAGGCAAGACCUCUCUAGCCCCUGCCUGGGUUAGCCCCUGCUCUGGGGAACUGGAAGCUCUGGGCCCAGGCUCCAUUCGGACCUCCCAUUUUUCUACCCACAAACACCCCUCCCCAUGGAAUAGUCUGUGCCAGGCUAAGCAGGGCACAGUGCUUGGGCCAAAGGCACACAGAGGAAGUCCCCCCUGGAAAACCUUGGAAGAAAGAAAUGGAUGGCCCCAGAGGACACAGCGAUGAUGCUGACAAUGGACAGAAAACUGCUCAGAGAAAGAUCUUUAUGUGUCAAUGGUAAGACAAAAAAAUGGAAAUACUCGAAAGAUUCAAAACCAGAAAUGGAUUAAGUGGCAGUGGAGUAUUAUGGCUUGGUGAUAAAGACUGCGCAUUCUGGAAUCAGAUGGACCUGGAAGCCUGAAACACUGCUACUUACAGAUGGGAAAGAGAUGUGAGGUCGUUGAAGGAGCCUUCAGGAACGCUGGAAAUGUCAUUGCCAUGGAGGGUUCUGAAGCAGAGGGCACAGGUCGGAAGCUGAGAAAGGAAGAGACCCAAGGGAGUUACUGGAGUUUCAGAGAUCAUAUGAAGAGCUGUGCUUAAGACCGGAAGUUCUGGAGCCAGGCUGUAUGUCAAAGUGCCAACCCUGGACCAUGGUUGGGAGGUCACAGUGAGUCACCUUCUGGCUCAGCAGAAGAAUUUUCUGAUGCUCUAAUAGCUGGUCAAAAGUGGAAUAGAGUUGCCUGGGUCUGGCUCUAUUGCCCAGGCUGGAAUGCAAUGGCGUGCUCUCAGCUCACUGCAACCUCUGCCUCCCAGGCUCCAAUGAUCCUCCCACCUCCGCCUCCCAAGUAGCUGGGACUACAGGCGCAUGUUACCAUGCCUGGCUAAUUUUUUGAAUUUUUUGGUAGAGACAGGGUUUCACUAUGUUGCCCAGGCUAGUCUUGAAGUCCUGGGCUCAAGCAAUCCUCCCACCUCGGCCUCCCAAAGUGCUGGGAUUACAGGUGUGAGCCACCAUGCUGGGGCAAGCCUACUAAUUCGUAUUUCAAGAAGCAAGUGCUAGCGUGUUGUAUGGUUACGUGUACCGCUGAUGAACUCAUGGCAGUAGUAGUGCCAGACUGGGACAAAUGAUGCUGAGGAAAGAGAAAACCCUGGUCAGGCUGGUGGUGUUCACCCCAUCACCCCCACCACCCCAAAAGACAGACAGAUGGACGGGCAAACAUUUUCUCUCCCUCUUACAUAUUGAGUUGCCCCAAACAUCACUACUCUAAUUAUGAACAGAUGCAUGCAGAUUCCUUAAAAUUGGCAGGUCCCACCUCCUGGCAGUGAACCCACACACGGAACUAUUAGACUGGGAUGGAAGACAAUAGGUUGGGAUUGAGGGGGAAUGGUAGGAGAAGGAAGGGGGAGCAGGUCCGGCUUCAGCCCUGGCCAGUGAUACGAGCCCAUCUCCUGCUGUGUUCAACUGGAAACAGGGAAAUGGUUGUGCUGAUGUAUCCAUUCUCAAACUCCCCAGAGAAGGUGGAUAAUAAAUAAGUGACAAUAACAGAUUGCACACUGUCAGCGCGGGCACUUCUUUGCCCCCAGAGAAUUGAUUUUUAAUAACAGCGCAGAUGACAUGUGGCGGGAGUUGUCACUGACACCGGUGUUUUGUGGGCCUCAAUAAAUCACAUCAGCCUGGAGGCUCUGAAAUGGACUAGCUUGUUGGGUGCUGUUUGUGGAUUGCUACUCGGCCCUGGAAUGGCUCCCGGGUCCCAGGAGGCUGGAUUCUGCAACCUACUGACUGCUAGACCUUGGCCAGUUACUUCACCAGUCUGGGCCUCAGUUUCUCCAUGUUUAAAAUGGGCAGAACUGUCUUGGUCUCACAGCAGUGUUGCAAAAGGUUAGACGAAGAAAACUGUCCCAUAAAAUAUGUUGAUCACUAUUAUAGUAAUAAUGAUCUAGAAAGUCAGGAAGUUGAUAGGUUUGGGGGCGGAGUAUCUGGCAUCUCUGUUUUCAUGAAUAGCAUUCAAGGGUGAUAUUCAAAGGACCAAAGGAAUUCAAAGGAAUGUGCUAAUAAAAUAGAAGCAAGAUGGGAAGGCACAAAAAUCAGGUGUUAAUCAGGCCCAGGAUUGGGGGUGGUGGUGGGGUGCCUUCCUGCCCUAGCAAGCUGUGAUAUAAGAAUAAUAACAAGUGAAUAUUUGUUAAGCAUUUACAGUGCCAGAGCUGCACUAAGUACUUCAUAUACAGUAUCUCAUUUAAUCCUCAUAAGACCCUGUGAGGCAAUUACCAUAAUUAUCUGAUUUUAUGGAUGAGAAGACACUCAGCUACCCAUGUGUAGGACAGGGCCAGGCAGGCGAGGAGAGUGGGCCGGCUGUGGAGGCUGCAGCCUGCACAACUCUGUUUAAAGGGGCAGGGCUGCUCAGCCAUGCAGGAAUGCAGGGGUAGGGCCCUGGUACGGCCAGGUCUCUCAAUUUUCCAAAAGAAUAUAGAGAGUGGGAUUUGUGGAAGAAAUCUGAUAUUUAAAUGUUGACAGCUUAUUAAGCUUUGUGUUCUUAAAAAGACACUCUAUGAGCCAACCCCACAAUUGCUAACUAAUAGCUGUCUGUGAGCUGGACGGGGGCCCUGGGUUUCCAGCUUGUGAUCUCUGGGGUAGGAGCUGUUUCCAUGCAGAGGUUCACCAUGCUGCAUUGCCCCUCUGAGGAAACAACUGUCAACAGAAUGAUCAUCGAAACGUGGCUAUGACCACACACUAUGCUCAAUACUAGAGGGUAGAAUACAAUUGCAUAUCCUAAUCCUCACAAAGGAGGUGCUAUUGAUCCCAUUUUACACAUAAAGAAGCAGAAAGUUGAAGGGGCUCAGUGAUUUGCUCAAGGUUCCACAGUGGUAGUGCGCUGGACCCUGGGAAUGGCAGACUCUCAAAGGUAGCUCUCUCUACUCCACUGAGCA